UACAGAGGUGGCAAGCGUUGUUCGGAAUUACUGGGCGUAAAGGGCGCGUAGGCGGCCUGCUAAGUCGAACGUGAAAUCCCCGGGCUCAACCCGGGAACUGCGUCCGAUACUGACAGGCUUGAAUCCGGGAGAGGGAUGUGGAAUUCCAGGUGUAGCGGUGAAAUGCGUAGAUAUCUGGAGGAACAUCGGUGGCGAAGGCGGCAUCCUGGACCGGUAUCGACGCUGAGGCGCGAAAGCCAGGGGAGCAAACGGG
rnacentral:rRNA from 1 species